CGAAAUAGUAAAAUUUUGAUAAAAAGGAACAUGAGGAAGUGAGUAGAACAGUUUUGUGUAAUUUUGUAAUACUUUCUGUUUCAAGCAUGGAACAUGGAUGUUUUUACAUAAAAUUGUUCGUUUUUAUAACUACAUUUGCUGUUAUAUUGCAAGAUUUUCAAGCGGACUGUAGAGGUGGCGGGCGUGGUGGUAGAUAUAGGGGGGGGGAGCAGGAGGUUCAAGUGGGUCAAGUGGUUCUGGAGAUGGGACAUGGUGGAUCGUACUUGCCGUGAUUGGAGGAGUUUUUGUUCUUAUUGGACUUCUUGUUGUCAUAAUUUAUUGUCACAAAAAACGCUGAUACUUGCAGAAAAGACGCUGAAUAUAGCGAUAAUUUUCUGAUCUAUUCCAUCCCUUAUGAUGCUUGAUUAAUUAAAUACCUUUGUGCCAGGUCAACAUGUUAUACGAUUACAACGAAAGAAUCACAACAAAAGUGACUUGCAUCAUCUUAAAAUCGAAUCUAGAUCCAUCCAGCCGGACGGUUAUUUGCCAUAAGCAGUCCCAAGGUCGUGCAAUAUUAAAUUGUGACGUAAAUGUUAGAAUUUUCAAUUAAUUGAAGUUUUAAUAAAUAUAUCAAUAUGCAUUA